GAAAAUAUUAGGCUGUUUUUAAAAAAAAUUUCUUAUAUAAAACCAAAAUCUGUCUCUCUAUAAUUUACAUCCAUUGUUUCUGAUUCCGCUUUCUGGGAUCAAAUCUAUUCCCUUUCUUCCAUAACAGUCUUCCAGACACUUGAAGACAGCUAUCAUAUUCCCCGGUCUUUUCCUUUCCAGACUAAACAGCGUAAGUUCCUUCAACCUCAUCCUUCCUGUUAGCAAACAGCAGAUCAUCAGAAGCAAAACAUAUAACACAAAUGGAAUUUGUGGGAUAAUGAUCAAAAUGUGGUGGGAUUUAAGCUUUGGAGGCAGGAGAUCUCCUGUGAUUUGCACUGACUCUGACAGGCUGAGCCAGGUUGCCCAUUCCAUCCAGCCAAGCAGAGAAAGGAAUUGUGACAACUUGCUAUCUUAACAAGAUCUUGGAAAUAGGGGAUCCAGCAUCAUUUCCUUCUCAGGAACCUCUGAUUUGUUCAAGUAUGUUUGAACUGUCUGUAUGUGCUUUUGUCUGGACAAGAGAUGCAGAAAGGACAUUGUGUAAGUGCAGGGAAAACUGAUAGAAAGAUGGCGCUUUCCCUUCUCAACAGUGGGUGCCCAUACUGAUAGGAAAAUUGAGGACAGUUUAUAUCCCACUGGACAUGGAGAAAAGAAGCAGGAUAGAUUCAGGCAGUUU
rnacentral:lncRNA from 1 species